UUUGAGGGGUGGGGGGGUGGGGAAGGACACAAACAUUCAGUACAUAGCAGGUUUCGGUAUUUACAGGCUUAGCCUGUCCCCAUAACCUCAUCUCAUGGAGUUCAGAAGUAAGUCUAGUCUCUAACACCUGGAGUCGGACUCCCUAAUUAUGGCUGCUGGGUAACCACUGCCCUGUUUCUUUAGUUUCUGGGAAGACCUGGGAUUCAGUGUUCCUGAGGAAUGCACAGAGGGUGAUCGUGUUGUUCUGUGAGGCACAUGUCUCACUGCUUGGCCCUCGGCACACCUAGUCCUGAAUUUUGACACGUAUCCUGACCAGGACCUCGGUGCUGAGGCUGCAAAUCAAAGGUCAGCGGGUUGGAACUAUGCAUUUCAUGGCCAGGGUCACUGUUCUCCAGACUUUGAGUUGUUUUUUGCUGCAAUCUCAAUUUCAUUUAGCUGUACUCCCUGCCCACCUCCAACCUACCUUCCAGUGCCAAGUUUUCUGAAAUUGUGAUUAAGGUAACUAGGCCUCAUGGGCUUUGUGCCUUCUCUGCCCAGCCGGGCCCCUAUCCAAAGCAGUAUGCUGCAGCAAGGAAAGACCUGGAGACAGAUUUUCCAUAGCACUUGCUCAAGAUGCUUAAACUUGAGGGUGUCUGUUAGCAGUGGGAGGUGUAGAGUAUUCUAGGUGGGGAGAGAAAGCAGGUUGUCAUAGAGAAUUUUUUGCUGGUAACUUGUCUACUGUGAUCUCAAAAGAAAGGUGUAUGGGGCGGGGGGCUGGGUGGCUCAGUCGGUUAAGCGUCCAACUCUUGAUUUUGGCUCAUGAUCUCAUGGUUCGUGGAUUUGAGCCCUGAACUAAGUGCAGGGCCUUCUUGAGAUUCUCUCUCUCCCUCUCUCUCUUCCCCUUCCCUGCUCGUGCACGUGCAUGUGUGUGUACUCUUUCUCUCUCAAAAUAAAUAAAUGAAUAGACUCAAAUAAAAAAAAAAAGAAAGGGAUAUGAAUCUCCAAGACACAAGUAUUUUGUUGUAAAUUAUUUACUCAUUCUAAAUGAAUAUUCACUUCCAGAUCUAAUUUUUAAAUUUUUAUUAUUUUUCUAAAAGAAGGGCCCCCAAAUUUUAUAAGCUUCAAGCCCACAAAACCUGGAUCUGCCUUUGGGAAGACUCAUACCCAAGCCUCAUCUCCAGAGACUGUGAUUUCAUUGAUCUGGGGCAGUAGAUCUCAGCUGAGGUAAAAUUAUCCCGCCAUGUGGAUAUCUAGCAAUGUCUAGAGACAUUUUUGGUUAUCACAACUGAGAAUGGGGGAGGUUUGCUAUUGGCAUUAACAGAUAAAUGCCAGAGAUGCUGCUAAAGAUCCUACAAGGACAGGACCGCUCCACAACAAAAAAUUAUCUGACCAAAAAUGUCAAUGGUGUUGCUCUGAGCAUUGGCGUUCUUCAAAAUCUUCCCAAUUAAUUUGAAUAUGCAAAUGGGGUUGAGAACAACAGUUCUAGAGAUAACAAUAGCUAACCUUUAUUACUGAGUACUGUGUGCCAGCCACUGUUCUAAAUGAAUUAACUUAUUUAGUCUCUGGAGUAAGCCUAUGAAAUAAGUACUAUUACUAUUCCCAUUUUACAGCUGUGGAAACUGAGGUACAAAUAUUAAAAACACAUCCUAAAAUUCAAUCCCAGACAGUUGGGUUCCAAAGUCUGAGCAGUUGACUAGUAUUGCACACCUGAGCCUCCUUGACUGACUUAUUUCAUCCAGCUAGAGCUCUCUAGGGGAAAGGGAGGGAGAGUGCCUGGUGGCUCCCAUAGCCAUAAUCCUGCCUACCCCCAACACUCAGAAAUGAAAAGGAGCAAAGGUCUCAAAGUAGAUACAGCUGAGGAGGCAGGGGGUGGGGGCGGUCUAGAUCCACUCUGAAGUUUAUGUCAACAGAGAGCAGUUGGGGGUAUGGGUAUUUGUUCCAGUUUCUCACAUAUGCCUGUGCCUUGUUCAAUUUGAUGAAAUUUCUUAAAAUGAAAGUUUAAUCUAGAUAUGGUAGACCCUUGCUCGGGUACGAAAAAAAAAAGGUGCCUUGGCCCAUUAGACGGUAAAUAAGUAACAGUAAUUGUUGCUCCCAUCACCAUCUCUUGUACAGUAAUGAGCUGUGUGGCAGUGUACCUUUCACAGAUGGCCAUAUUUAAUUGAAAGCCGGGCCCAGCAGCUGCCAGAAAUGCUGGCUACCAGACUGGGAAAAGGGCUGCCAAAUGAGAGGACUGCAGACAAGUUCUGUGGCAAAAUGGUAGAAAUAUAUAACGUGAAAUGACUCUCUCUUUAUUCACUGUUACAAAAUGCUCAAGCAGAAAAGGAAAGUACCAGCACACUUGGACAUUGUCGUUGAAUUCCAUAACACCGGGGUGAUGAAGACAGCUGCUGCCUUCAGGGCAGGGGCUGUGGUGGGGAUAAGGCAAAAAUGCAAGUAUUUCUAAAAUAAAACGGGCUAUGGAAAGAGGGCUAGCCCAUGCUUGGAAGAGAACGCCAAGCCCCACAUGGGAACUACAGCGAUGGCCAACUCCUUGAUUUCAGCCCAGUGAGACCCUGAGCAGAGGAUCUAAUUGUGCCAUGUUUGGACUUGUGAUUUAUAGAAACUGUGAGAUAAUAAAUCUGCAUCGUUGUGAACUGCUAAGUUUGUGAUAAUUUUAUACACAAUAACAGGAAACAAAUACAAUGCAUUCUAAUGGUUGAUUUUUCAACGCCAAACCAACUUUACAUUCCUGGGAUGAGCCUUAUUUGGUCAUGAUGUGUUGUCCUUUUAUAUACUGUUAGAUUUGAUUUGCUAAAAUUUUGGUCAGAAUUGUUUAUAUCUGUUUAUGAGAGACAUGGCUUGAAGUGAAAGUGAGAAGAAAUUUGAAAGAGGAAGAAAUGGAAGUAAGCUGAGAAAGGAAGACAUGACAGAUGGGAGAACAAUGAGCAGAGGUGGGAAAAUGUCGGAAUAGGUUUUGAAAACAGUCCAGCAAUUCAUCUGGCUGGAUAGUCACAUACAGGAAGUCAAGUGGUGGGGAAUGCAGCUGGAAACCUAGGGAAGAGAAUGCACACUUAAUUUGGGAGAUGAAGUCAAAAGCCGCUGAAAGUCAUUGUUGGACAUAACGGGAUGAGCGAGCCAGAAGCAGUGUGUCAUUUGAAGUGUACCAAACAGAACCUAGAGAGCAGUAGGGAGGCCCUUGCAAUCGUCUGGUUAGAGGUCACUAGAGCCUAAGCCUGCACGUGGUCAGGGGGAGGAGAGGAAGCAAGGGACAGAGGAGGAGAUCCAGCCCAGAUGUUAGAUUAUCUCCACCUCCUCUUUGGACACCUGAAGAACACCAGCAGGACUUAUUCUAUCAACUGGUGAUUGGAACCGAGUGCUGAAGGCAAAUCUGAAAACUACUGGUUGUCUGCAGGUUCAGCUCCCUGUGUUCCCGCUGGAUCCAGGCCUGGCUGGUUGGCCCCAGACAGUACACAGCUAUUAGCGGGGCACAGGAGGACUCCAAGCAUCUGGUUUGAGUCUGAUGUCUACUCUGGGAUGGGAGGUGGUUCAGCUUAACAGAGGAAACGUGGGAGAGGGCCAAGGGGGUUCAGGGAGCAGAACUGUGCUCACUCAGUAGGGGCUUGAGGCAUCUCUUUUGGGUUUGUGGUCGCAAUGCAGGAUCAGAAGCAGAAGCUGACAGGAAGGACCUUCCUGGAAGGAGCCAUUGCCGGACCGGAAGCUUAUCCCACCACAGAGGUCAGAAGGGAACGGAGAAAGCUUGGGGAAACAUGGCAUGUUGGACAUUUAUUCUUGGUCCUUUGCCUCACACCGGCUCCCCAGGUGUGUGAGAGGCCCUAUAUUCGUGAGUACACCGGGCACUCGCCCACAAUGUCCUCCUGGGAGUUGCCCCUCUAAAUUCAUUCUUCCUCCAAGAAGACAGCUUUUACUUUCACAGCAGAGGCAAGUGGCUCUAAUGAGAUGCUGGCAUUUCCUGGGAGAGGAUUAGUACGUCAGCGUACCUGACCAUCUUGACAGGGGCACGGAUAUCUCUGGGAAGAGAUAACGUAGUGCAUGGGACGGACUGAUGAGGGGAGGAGAGACUACAUCUGAGACAUUGGGCCAAGGAAGUGAGGAUGGGUGUCGUGAGAGCACUGGGGUGGGUGGCAUUGGCAACAGAAGGAGCCCCCAGUUCACAGCUUCGCUCCAGCCUCACCCUGUAGCUUCGUACAACUCUCCUCCACGUUCCCUUCUGUGGUGGCUUUCAAUUAGGUCCACUAAUUCUUUGAUCAACCACUGUUCAGUCGGCGAAGGGAGUUUGAUUCUCUUCCCCUUGGUUAUGGGCCAAACUUAGUGACUACUAAUGGACAGAGUAUGGCAAAAAUAACUGUGUUACUUCCAGGACUAAGUCAUAGGGCUUUCCUCUUGGUUGCUCUCUCUUGGAUCCUUUGCUCUGGGGGAAGCCAGCUGCCAUGUCACAAGGAGAGGUCCACGUGUCAUGGAGCAGGGACCUCCUGCCAACAGCUCUGUGAGUUCAGCCACCGUACGAGUGUAUCCUCCAACCCCAGGCAAGCCUUAAAAUGACUGCAGCCCCUGCUGACACCGGGACUAACCCUGAGUAGAACCCUCCUGCUAAGCUGCUCUCAAAUUCCUGACCUAAAGAAACUGAGAUAAUAUGCAUUUGUUAUUUUAAGCCACUGAACGUUGUAGUAACUUGUUAUUCAGCAAGAGAUAACUGUUAUACCUUCCAGUAUACAGUCUCAAUCAGCUGCUUCAGCAAAUAUGAUUCAGUGGCCCUUAGCAUGGAAAGGCCUAGCAAAUAAAGAUUGUUGCGUAAGACCAAUCUCUGUAUUUUACACAGUUAAGGAAAACGAGACCCUAUCUGGAAUAGGGGCUAGAGUGCUUUGCUUUGUUUAAUUUUGCCUACUUGAAGUAAUACUUUUGAACUGUGACAUGGAAAGUUGUAUGUUGGAGUAUACCGAUUUAUGCACAGCCUGAGACAGAAUUCAUUAUUCGGCUUAUAAACACCAGCUUUUGGCCUUGCCUAUGAUGGAGAAUUUAAAGGGGCAUAACACCAGAAUUAUAAAGUGCGCCAUGAGACAUGCUGACUGGGAGUAAAUCCAUGGAAAAGCUGUUUCCGUUAGCCUGGAGGUGUCUCAACGAGAGGAUAAAUCUCAAAACUGGUAACAAUCCCCACCGACUCGCCAGGGUGGAGCAGUGUACCCUUUCUCCAUCUAUUCUGAUCCCAGGAAGGUGGCUCUAGGUCCACUGACCUGACCUCCCACCCCGCCUGAAGAAGGGAAGAACAGUCUGGCUUGAUAGGAACGAAAACGAGUGAAAAUGGAAGGCACAGUCUGAGGAAUUCUCGGAUGCUCAGAAUUCUCGGAUGACCUGGACCAAACAGGGAUAGCUAGGGCGGGAUAAUCAAGUCCAUCAGGGCAGUCCGUGGACAUAUCUGAGAGGUCCCUGAGGGCAGCCCUCACCAGUGCUGUCAGGGGCUUCCUAACCUGAGCCCGUUGAACGUUGGAGCUAGAAGCGAUUGAGAAUUAGGACAGCAGCUCCGAAAGUGCUGGGGAAGGAGGCAAUUGCGGACAUCUCUUCUCUCACCUGCUCUCUUCUUCCCCAGCAGCUGGGAGCAUGCGAGUCCAUCACCUCUGCUCUUCUAAGGCAAGGGUAGGAGGCUGGCACAGACCCAGAGACCUCAACUUCCUCAGGCAGCUUUCCCUUUUCCGUUUCAGAUGUGAUCCCUCCACCUUCUGAGAGCUCACUCUACUGCACCUGUACCUGCCUUCCAGCACCAUGGUGUCACAUCACACUUGAAUCUAGCACCAAGUCUGGCUCGAAAAUGUUUGCAUGAAAGAAUGAACGGACGAAAUGAUGACUCUCACUCGCUGGGAUGGUGAAAGCCCACAGAUCCAUGAUGCCCUCCUCAUGGCUCAUCUCACUGUUAACUUCUCGCUUCCUCUGGGGCCCCCAAAACAGUACGACCUCCUGGAGUGCUAUGGGCAGGCCAGCAGAGCCCUGACUGCAGCCCAGAGAGGAAAAUGACUUGCCCCAGUCAGUAAGUGGCAAAGUGUCCUUCAGUCGGUGCCCUCGUUCCUGCCCUCUGGGAGGCCCUGCCCUGAUAAACAGCUAUGGAAUGCCGACACACAUGUGAAUGUGCUUGCAGCUGAAGCUCUUGAACAUUCAAAUGCCUUCCCUGCUGGAUAAUCUCUGAAAGAAGUUGGACAAAGGAGAGGGGAAUGGACCCAGGGAGCUUAAGAAAUGUUUUUGUAAACCUGUAUCCGGCCACACUAAAUAUGUAUGCAAUGUAGGUGGGCCUUGCACUCCGGGGGGUUUCCAUUCAUGUGUUAGGAUUUCAGUGAUAAGAAAAUAUAUUUUUAAGUUCUUUUUCCAUGCCUGUUAUGUAUCUUGGAAAGUUAGCAGCUGGGGAGAUUUUUUUUUCCUACUGCGUCCUAUUUAAAAAAAAAAAAUGAAAACAAACCUUUUGAUUUUUUAAAGUAAUUAUGCGUACCAUUUAGAAAAAGCUACCUUAUUAAUAUUUUGAUAGACUUCCCAGGCUCUUACUUACACACCUAUACAUGAAAAGAUACAGCUUUAAGAAUAUGAGAUCAUACCAUACUGUUUCAUAACCUGACUUUUUUUUUAUGCAAGAAUCUAUAGUGAACCUGUGUCCAUGGACAUCAAAAGAUGUACAUCAUCAUCAUC